rnacentral:lncRNA from 1 species
UGCCACCAUUUAAGGAGUGCAUUUCAUCUCCCACUAUGAUUCUAAGGCCUCCCCAGCCAUGUGGAACUUAGAAACAGAGUUUCACCAUGUUGGCCAAGAUGGUCUCGAUCUCCUGACCUCGUGAUCCGCCCACCUCAGCCUCCCAAAGUGCUGGGAUUACAGGCACGAACCACUGCGCCCGGCCCAAAAUGAAAGGAGCCCCAGGCCUCUCAAAAAGUAUGAAAGAACUGGAAUUCACCAGAUCAUCACAUCCAGACAAUGAGACACCAGGCCCCUCAUUCAUCAUGAUGGCUUCUUUACCCCUAUGGAGUUCCUGUUUUCCCUUAGAUAGUUACAUUUCUUCCCUGCUAUAUAAACCCCUAAUUUUAGUCAAUCCCGAAGACGGAUUUGAGCUUCAGCUCCCAUCUCCUUGGCUGCAGACCUGAUUAAAGCCUUCUUCCGUGGCAGUACUUGUCAUCUCAGUCAUUGACUUUCUGUGCAGCAAGC